UAUGAAUCCUAAAUUAUGAAUAAUUAUGAUUCAAGUUAAGAGCUCAAGUUGAAAAUUUAUGCUGUAGAGAAUAUGGAUUUAUAUGUAAUUCUUACACACAACUUGAAUAGAGUCAUCGAAAAUCGUCUCGAAUAUAAAUAAUACAAUAAUCAUCUUAAUUUGGUUUUUAGAAUUUAAAUAUAUUUAAAUAUAUAAUAACAUAAGAAUUUGAUAUUUACAGAAAAAUAGUACAUACUAAUUAGAAGUAAUAAGGAUUAAACUUCUUAUUCUGUUUACCGUUAAUGAAUUAUAACUAGAGGAGGAAUUAUAUAUAUAAAAAAUGUUUCAGAAGGGAUAGUUGACAAGUUGACAGAAGAUAUUGAUAAGAAAGAUAUAAAUUGGCCUUCAAUGUGUCCCUAUUAUUCAGUUUGUAAACGUAUUCAUCCACCUGUUGCUCCCUUCUUUUAGUCACGCUCAUACACCGGUGUUAUAUAGUAGAGUUGAUGAAAUAUCACUUUUUUGAACAUUUGUUUUUUUUUAAAGAAUAUAGAAAUGUUUAAAAUUGUCAAUUUUGUUCAAUAAAUUUUCUUUAAAAGAAUCUAUUGAAUUAUUCAUGAGAUCAUCUUUAUUCAUCAUCUAUUAAAAGAUUGUAAUUAUAUAUUCUAAAUUAUUAACAUUUCAAUCUUCUAAUAUUUUAUUUUUAUUAUUUCUCUCCUCUUCAAUUUAUAUAUGUAUCAAAGAUUUAUGAUACAUACUGAAAUUAUAUAAUAUUUUACUUUUGAUCUUUAUUACUUUCGAUUUUUUUUUCUUUUAUAUCAUAUCGUAUAAGGAUUUUUAAAUUUAUUACUAACGAAAUACACUUUUCCAAAUGUGUCAUUAAUAAAUACACAAUCAUUGGCAGAUAUAAUAUCUGUUUCUUAGAGACUAGUCUUAGAUCCAAGAAGUAAAUGUGAACCACAAGAAAACAACUCUCGAGAUCUUGUCGAUGAAUCGCCUAGCCUGGAGGAAUAAAGAGAGAAGAGAGUAGGAGUAAAGCAGGGAAUGGCAGAGAAAGGAUCUCGAGGAGAGGAAAGAGAAGAGUGAGCCGCCCCCAGCAGAGCACGCAGCCUCCGUGGAUCGCUCUGUCCCACAUCCGACUAUAGUUUACUCCAUACAAGUUCCUUUCUCUAAUUUCUAAUCGUCUAUAACAUCAUAUACUCUUGAUUUUAAUUAAUUAAAUUUUCAAUUUAAUUUAAGACAAGAAAGAAAUGAUGAAUUCUUAGAACAGAUAAAACUAUAUUUUAAUCUUUCUUAGAUAAGAACGUUUAAAUCAAAACUGAUGAUUGAUAGAAGAAUAAAUCGAAAAUAUCGGAUGUAUAUCAAAUCGAGCAGCUGUGUGGAAAAAAUAAGAGUGGACUCGAAACAAGCGAUAACGCAGGAGAAGGUGCUGUCCCAAAAGCAGACAAAAGGCAUACCCCCAACUCCUUGAGUCAAUCAUUUUAUGGGCGUUUCAAGAGACUCGGGCAUGUUUUCGUUAUUUUUUUGAAGCAAAGUGGUCUGACGAGAGAGAGAGAAUCGUAAGAAGGAGGAAGAGGAAGAGGGAAAAAGAGGAAUAAGAAAGAAAUAAAAAGAGAACGGAAGGGGAAAAAAGCGAAGAAGCAAGAAGCCGCCCCCAGCAGAGCACGCAGCCUCCGUUCUAGCUGGUUCUGUCCCACGCACUAUUAUGUUUCAUCAAAUACAUGCAAUGAAACUAUUUGUUGGCAAUACAUAUUUUUGGUAUUUUGAUUUCCAACUUGGAUCAUUUAUAUUUAUAACUAUUUUACUUAUUGUUCUGGAAUCACAAAAUUUAAGAAGAAUUUUGGCAUUCUACUUCAUUACACGAAUAUAUAAUUACAUUAUAUGCAGAAAAAGAUUUAUUCUCAAAAAUAAUAAUCUCUUGGAGGAAUUUUAUAUAUGGAUAUGAUCGAUCGAGAUUGCUCACAGAAGUUAAAUUUUAAGCGCGAAAUGUGCAAGAAAUCUCUAAAACUUUUCCAGCUAACGAUGAAAUCUUCAAACCCAGGAAAAUCUGAUGAACUGGCGACGAUGACCAUCGAUUGGUUUGGUCAUAGUCCCAAAGGACGGUAACGCGAGUCCUUUUUUGGCGUCCCGACUGACCUAAUUGGGACCACCAUGCUCGUGUCCGCUCAUUCAUCGAUCGCGGCAUGCUACCGCUCGUGUAAUUAACCCGAUUUACUGCG